CCUUCGAUAGCUCAGUUGGUAGAGCGGUGGACUGUCGAAGUUGUGAUGGUUAUCCAUAGGUCGCUGGUUCGAAUCCGGCUCGAAGGA
rnacentral:tRNA from 1 species